GGGUUGUGAGGUUAAGCGACUAAGCGUACACGGUGGAUGCCCUGGCAGUCAGAGGCGAUGAAGGGCGUGCUAAUCUGCGAUAAGCGCCGGUAAGGUGAUAUGAACCGUUAUAACCGGCGAUACCCGAAUGGGGAAACCCAGUGUGAUUCGUCACACUAUCAUUAACUGAAUCCAUAGGUUAAUGAGGCGAACCGGGGGAACUGAAACAUCUAAGUACCCCGAGGAAAAGAAAUCAACCGAGAUUCCCCCAGUAGCGGCGAGCGAACGGGGAGGAGCCCAGAGCCUGAAUCAGCAUGUGUGUUAGUGGAAGCGUCUGGAAAGGCGCGCGAUACAGGGUGACAGCCCCGUACACAAAAGCGCAUGUGCUGUGAGCUCGAUGAGUAGGGCGGGACACGUGGUAUCCUGUCUGAAUAUGGGGGGACCAUCCUCCAAGGCUAAAUACUCCUGACUGACCGAUAGUGAACCAGUACCGUGAGGGAAAGGCGAAAAGAACCCCGGCGAGGGGAGUGAAAAAGAACCUGAAACCGUGUACGUACAAGCAGUGGGAGCCCCACCACUAAGC
rnacentral:rRNA from 1 species